rnacentral:tRNA from 1 species
GCCUCAUUCGUCUAGCGGCCAGGACACCUCGUUCUCAGCGAGAAGAUCGCGGGUUCAAGUCCCGCAUGAGGCA